rnacentral:rRNA from 1 species
CGGAGGGGGCUAGCGUUAUUCGGAAUUAUUGGGCGUAAAGGGCGCGUAGGCGGCUUGAUAAGUCAAAGGUGAAAUCCCUCGGCUCAACUGAGGAACUGCCUUUGAAACUAUCGAGCUUGAGGCCGGGAGGGGGUAGCGGAAUUCCCAGUGUAGCGGUGAAAUGCGUAGAUACUGGGAGGAACACCGGUGGCGAAGGCGGCUACCUGGACCGGUUCUGACGCUGAGGCGCGAAAGCGUGGGUAGCAAACAGGAUUAGAUACCCUGGUAGUCCACGCUGUAAACGAUGGGUGCUCGGUGUCGCGGGUAUCGACCCCUGCGGUGCCUUAGCUAACGCGUUAAGCACCCCCCUGGGGAGUACGGUCGCAAGGCUG